GGAGAGUCUGGCGAAUUAGAUUUCUCAUCUUCUUUGACUGGUUUUUACCGUAGCAAGGAUGGUUGACCUGGGAGGUUUUUCUUAAAGAUUCUAAUUUUAAAUCAAUUAAUGUUUUUUCUAAUUCUAAGUCUCUUUCCAAAGUAGAGGAGGAAGCUGCGAAGAAAUGUUUGGUAGGAGUAUGCCUAAGGGAUUGACUAGGUGUUGGGAGUUGUUGUAACUAGACUGAGGACUUGUGGGGCUGAUU
rnacentral:lncRNA from 1 species